rnacentral:lncRNA from 1 species
UGUGUCCCGGCUCGAUAUGUUUACAUUUUGUGCGGCUUCGAAUUGCGUCUCAGUUUUGGUAUCUGUAAGUUUACAUUCUGUUCGGCUCGAUCGCGUUCGCGAGGAAAACAUUCCAUCUAUUAGUACGCAACGAACCCCAGUCAGGGUCGGUCACAAUGUGUAAAGUGUAAAAUUUUGGUUACGAAGUGUUCUAUGGUGCCGGUUCUAACUUGGAAUUACGAUAUUGGUUCGGAAUUACGACUUUCGUAGCGAACACGAAAAGAGUCGGCUAUUUUAAUACAUUUUUUGUAUCUCCACAAAAGAAUGCAUCCCAGGACAUCGGAAGCUACUAAAAGAAGUCUAAAGCAAAAAGCACAAACGAGAGGACGAGGAACAAAAACGAAUCGUAAAACGACGGGAGGGAUCGAAAAAGAUGUAAACAGCGUGAAACCGCGACACUCUCGAGAAACUAUGGAAAUUCGAAGGUCGUAAGGAGUCAGCAACAGCGAAAGCAGAUUGUUCGUACCGACACGUGAAACUUGGCUUCACCUCGAGAAACGAGACAUUCCGACUAGAAUGUGACUUGAUCGCUGGAAAUUCUUCCUGAGGAUCUUAAGACAACGCGCGGCAUUCUCAAAUGGGAGAAAAUCUGCAGAGAGAAGAAAAAUCUGGAAAUUUACAUACAAUGGUUACGGAAAGUAUUUGUACAUCGUUGUCUUCAUUAUAGCAUUUAUUAAUUAAUUGAGUGUAAUUAUAGGUAUCUUUGCAUCAUGCAGUAGUACUUUUAGCGAUUCGAAAUUUUCAAUUUAUUUUUCUUCAGUUCAUGACUCGGCUUUUUCUGUUCCUAUAUCGCAUUUAAAAAUUACGCAUAUAAUUUACAUUGCGCGAAAAAUAUAGUAAUUUCUUAUCCUAUCUUCGAUUUAAAAGAAUGGCAUAUAAAAGAAAGCGAACAAAGAAAAAUAUCAUACGUUAUCAACAUGAAAUUUUGAAAAAUAUUCAUUAACUUUCUCAAUAUUCCACUGAAUAAAUGAAACAUUUGUUCUCUCCGUUAUUUGUUUCUUAUCGAGGAAUACUAACUUCUCUUAUUUAUUUACCUGAAAGCUCUUUAGUUUUCACGAUACAAAAUUAAACGGAGCGUACAUAUUUUCUGAUAUUUCCCGCUCGAAUUUGAUCUUUACACUCUUUAUUCUAUUGUCUAUAAUUAAAGCUUAAACGCAACAACCAUUUAAAUAAGUAUAGGAACGCGUUAACAAGAAUCUUCUCUUAUCGAAUGGAGAUGAAGACUAGUUUAGUCAGAGAGUUUUGGAUUUCAUUCGUUCAUUUCUUUGGACUUGUACACUUAUUUGAAAAUUUUCACAAGAAACAGAUAAUUGAAAUACUUCCUUCGCAACUGGGGCCAAGCCAUAGUUUCAAAAUGGCAGAGGAUAUACGAAAAUUUCAUUAAAAACUAGUAUGUUUGUGUAUACAGAUGAAAACAUUAUAAGUAUCAUUUCUAAGCAUAAUUAAUUACUAAUCUUUUAAGCGGGAGUGUACAUGUACCAUAGGCUUGUAGGCUCCCUUUUCAAAAGAAAUUCUCAAUUCCAAAGAAAAAGAAUAUUGCCAUUCUAGCGAGCUUUCUAGAGUGCAGCUCGGAGAGUGAACGAUUUCAGAUAAAAGAAGAAAAACUAAAUGCGCCUUGUCGUAAUUUAACUCUGGUUCCUAUGAACGAAGGGAAGCUGGCCACCGACACUGGUGGUUGGUGACACGAAAGAGGCAGCGAAAAGCUUCGACGAACAUUUUGGGCGUAACGUUAACGUUCAUAUCUCGAUUUUCCUGGUGCUCGCCGAUUCGUAUAGCAGAGGGAACGAGAGAAAAGCGUGGCAGGCAUACUCGCCAUAUUGGCAUACACGCCGCCUGCGUUUUACGGCCGUAUUCAGCGAUUUUGCAUAUCGAGCACUCGGCCCUGUAUGCGUGCAGGUAUAUGUGCGUGAAUUGUCGUACAUAGGGAUGAGAAAGAGCGAAUGAGAUCACGAAGAAGAUGAACGAAAGUAUAGAGGGGCAGGAGAAGAAAGAGUAGAAGAGGACAGAAAAAGGGACACACACCAUCGUUGUCCUUUCUAGAGCGGUGGCAGCGGAACUACUGCAAGCCUAUUCACCUUUUCCACACCGAUUCACGUAUAUACGGCGAUCGCAGACCUCCUUGAGAGCUCAAUUUAUCGCGAAACGGCCUCCGCCGCCAGUACAAAGUGAGCCGGCGCAUGGAACGUACCAGCCUCCCUUCCAGCAAAUUGUCAUAAUUGAAUAACCAGCGAGAUAAGCGAGCGUCGCUUUGACCGCCGUAGCUUUCCCUUCCUAACUCGCCAGCCGGCUUCAUACGGGCCGAUCCAUUUAACCCUUGAGUGUCUCGAGUCCACUUGAUACGCGAUCCGUACUCCCCCCAUUGUGUUUCCAGGCUCUGUGUUCGCUUUCAUUUCCGCGAAUCAGUCGGUUAAUCAAUUUGCAACGCUCCCUCCUCGUUUAACAUUGCCUCGGUGGAUCUGCCUUUUUUCCUCCGUCCCCCCGUUUUGCCCGACUCGAGCCCAUGCUACGCUGAUCGAGUUCGGUUCCGUUAACGAGAGUAUCUUUGAGCGCCGCGGGCGAUUCGGGGAUAGUUGAAGAGUUCGCAACGAGAUUAGCGUCGUCGUAUACGCUUUGUUCUUCGAGAUAGCGUAUCGACGCGUUUUUUCUUUUUUCCAAUCCGAUGCUGCUUUCUCUGUCCACUAACAGGUCAUCGGCUAGUCAAAAUUGACUGAUAUUUGCAAUUCGUUUGUUUCUGAUACACAAGAUCGGCUGUAACGUAGCCUCGUUACUCUGGAGUAGUGUACAUCAUGGUUUUGUCUGACACCGAUGCCUGUUGGUAGUAAAGCAGAUUAGAGAAUAAUCGAUGAAUCGAGUCGCAGCUGUUUAAUUCGGAAAAUGGAUUAACUGUACGCUAAUUAUGCAGAGUAUCUCAGGAAUCGUGGUACAAUCGACAAGAGAGUGGAUUCUACACGUACGAGUUUAGAAUAUAGGACAAGAUUUUUUCAUAUCACGUUAUCAUUAUUUGUGGAACGCGACACAGAAAUAACGGCGGUUGAUAAAACACUUAAAUUAGUAAGAAACAGCGUUAAUGUCUCAGACCGUCGUUAGACGACCGUGCUGUGCUGUGCAUGUCGAUGAAUGAAAUUAUGGAAAUCCGUAUUUGGUAUUAUUCCACAACUUCCACUAAAAUUCUUCCAUGCCAUUCCAUUUCGCGUUAUUAAAGCAGCAUACAAUAAGAUUUAACGGACGCGCAGCCAUCUAAAUACAGUUUUUCAUUAAUGAUAGGUGGAAUAUGCAAAGGAUGAUUUUAUUGUCCUUUUAUGGCUUUUACACAAAAUCACUGUAAUCACAGACAAUGGUUGCUGAUACCAUUCUGUUGAAAGGUACAAAACAAGAAUCAACCGAAAUAUCUGACGGAGCUGAAAGGAGAAAUUGGAACGGAAUAAACGAGAAGAGGAAGCAGAGGUGCAGAUAUCGAGGGUGGCUUUAACGGCCUUUUGUUUGGUUAACUGCAUUGCUUCCCAGCUCGCCGGUAAUUGCCACAAUGCGGGGCGAGGAAUCAAAAAGAGAAUAGCGAUCCAGGAAAUCAGAGAAAAUGGUUAAUCGAACGACAAGUCGAUCCCUAAUUUUCCUCUUGAGACACAUUGCUUUGAUUGCACUUUUUUCUUCUUUCUUUUCCUCCUUUCUUUUAGUCUUUCUUCUCUCUUUCCGUUUCUCUUUCU